UAGGGAAUCUUCCACAAUGGGCGAAAGCCUGAUGGAGCAACACCGCGUGAGUGAAGAAGGGUUUCGGCUCGUAAAGCUCUGUUGUUAAAGAAGAACACGUAUGAGAGUAACUGUUCAUACGUUGACGGUAUUUAACCAGAAAGUCACGGCUAACUACGUGCUAG
rnacentral:rRNA from 1 species